rnacentral:tRNA from 1 species
UCGGGGAUAGCUGAACGGUAAAGCGCAGGGCUGGCCAGCAUUAAAACAUUGACCUGAGGAUAGUGGUUCGACUCCACUGCUCCGAU